GCCCUUUAUUGAACUCCAAAAACACUGAAAGCGUUGUAAAAGUCCUUCAUGUAAUUGCAGCAUCGGCCUCUGAGAGUGAACCCCAACUCAGUGUUGGUGGGUGUGAAUUAUGCAUGUUUCCAGCAAUUACGCUACCCUAGGCAACCCUCCCCACCCUUCCAGGGUUCACUAAAACUGCCAUUGUGAGCCUGUCCAGAACUCGGAUGAACCGCCCGGCUCGGUCCUAUGCAGUCAGGUAGUGUUCAUGGGUUCAGUGUCCAUUCUGGAAUCAGGGGACAGAGGGGAAGAAGCUGCCCCUAUUGAUUUGGGCUUCACCUUAAGAGGCUGGCCUGACAUGAAUAUGUAAUUCCGUAAAGGACUUUUGCCGCACUUUGAGCUCAGUUUGGAGUUUAAUAAAUGACUCGUUAACGCUUUUUGUUAAACAUAAAACGCCUCAUGUCAUUUUAUUUGCAAAAACCUACUUAGGUGACAGCGACGUGAUGCCGGUGGUUGUCAAUUACAUACAUCUCCGCCAAUUACGUUACCCUACAGUCUCAACCGGGGUGUAACGUGGAGGCAGGCUCACGGGUUUGGUGAGAGAGAGAGAGCGAGAGAGACAGAAGACACUGACUACAAAUAAAUAUGUUGAUCAAUGAUUUUCAAACAGUAAAGGAUUCAACCAAACAGCUAGACUACACAAACUACAAAACUGAAUACUCAACAAGCAGGCACUUAGAAGAAAGUACGCAGCUAGCAUACCUUCCCGACGAUUCUGUGAGGUGUGCACUGGGAACAACAGGACUUUAUACCUGGGGCGUCUGAACCCAGACCCCAGGUGCCGUGGCGCUCAAGCCAACCAAUGGAAGCGCGGCAGCUUUUAAACUGACCAAUCGGCGAUCGACACAGCGGAAGCGGCAUUUGACUGGAAAGUAAGCCACACCCCCACACUACACAUGGCCCUGACAGUGGUGCUCACUCCUCUCAGUUAGAAUAGCCAAGGCUUUUAGGCCCUCUCCAGACUGACACUGAAGAACUGCUCUACUGUUUGAGUUAGUCCUGACAAAGGGUCUCGGCCCGAAACAUCGACAGCGUUUCUCCCUAUAGAUGGUGCCUGGCCUGCUGCGUUCCACCAGCAUUUUGUGUGUGUUGCUUGAAUUUCCAGCAUCUGCAGAUUUCCUCGUGUUAACCUAAUAGCCGGUAUGUCUUUGGACUGUGGGAGGAAACCGGAGCUCCUGGUCACGGGGAGAAGUGUCUGAGGCUUCUCGCUGAAGCUUCCAACAAUAAUCAACCAGCAUUGAUGGAUUCCAGUUGCUUUGAUAUUGUUUCUCUCUGACCGCGAUGCCCUGGUGGAACCUUUCUCCGUGCGCUUCACAGACAUUGCCGAGAUUUGCAAGGAAGAAGUCUAAAUGGAAUGCAGAAAAUGAAUCUUUAGUGACACGUUGCCUGAAGCACGUUGUCAACCAGCUGCACGCAGUUUGGUGCUCUGUAGUUACCAAAAACAUUUUCGACGACUUCCUCGAAUGCCUUCCAUGUGAUUUUCUCCGGUCCCACUAGAAGCUUGAUGUUGAUGACCUGUUUGAUUUGUGGACUAACAAAAACACCUUCCUUAAUCUUGGCAUCGGUUAUUCUGACAUGACUUGUGAAUUGAAAUAGCAACUAUAGGCGAUUUUUAAAAAAUGGUGUGUGAUAGGGAAAUUUCAUGAUCAGCAGCUCAAAAUUCAUCAGGUACACCCAAAAGUCUUCAGGAAAGCAAAAUCUUUGUUGUCUAGGGUAAUAAAUAGAUAUAGGCAUCCAUUAGUCUCAUGAGACCAUGGAUUUGUGCCUUGGAAAGUUCCCAGAGCGUAGGCCUGGGCAGGGUUGUAUGGAAGACUGGCAGUUGCCCAUGCUGCAAGCCUUCCCCUCUCCACGCCACCAAUGUUGUCCAAGGGAAGGGCAUUAGGACCCAUGCAGCUUGGCACUGGUGUUGUUGCAGAGCAAUGUGUGGUUAAGUGCUUUGCUAAAGGACACAAACACGUUGCCUUAGCUGAGGCUCGAACUAGCGACUUUCAGGUCACAAAACCAACGCCUUAACCACUUGGUGUAGGUAGAUAGAUAAUACUGAGAACAUGUGAAGUAGAGUCCUUGAAAGUGAGUCCAUUGGUUGUGCAACCAGUUCAGUGUUGAGGUGAUUGAAGUUACCCACAUUGGUUGAAGGGUAAUAACUGCUCCUGAUCCUGGUGGUGUGGGACCUAAGCUCUUGUACCUCCUUCCCAAUGACCACAGCGAGUUAAGAGCAUGACCUGGAUGGUGGGGGUCUUUGUUGAUGGAUACUGCUUUCUUGUGGCAGCACUCAUGGUAGAUGUGAUCAAAGUAGGAUAUAGCUCUUCCCGUGAUGGACUGGGAUGUAUCUUCAAGAAGGGAGAGAAGCAGAAGAAAGGAAACUAUAGGCUAGUUAUUCUGACCUCAGUGGUGGGAAAAUGUUGGAGUCAAUUAUUAAAGAUGAGAUCCCAAGGUACUUGGAGGCACAUGAUGAAAUAGGCCUCGUCAGCAUGGUUUUCUCAAGGGAAAAUCUUGCCUGACAAAUCUGUUGGAGUUAUUUGAGGAAAUAACAAGCAGGAUAGACAA